GCGGGUGUAAUUUAGUGGUAGAAUGCGAACCUUCCAAGUUCGAUACGCGAGUUCGAUUCUCGCCACCCGCA
rnacentral:tRNA from 1 species